rnacentral:rRNA from 1 species
AUUGAACGCUGGCGGCAUGCUUUACACAUGCAAGUCGAACGGUAACAGGUCUUCGGAUGCUGACGAGUGGCGAACGGGUGAGUAAUGCAUCGGAACGAGCCCAGUCGUGGGGGAUAACGCAGCGAAAGCUGUGCUAAUACCGCAUACGAUCUAUGGAUGAAAGCGGGGGACCGUAAGGCCUCGCGCGAUUGGAGCGGCCGAUGUCAGAUUAGCUAGUUGGUGGGGUAAAGGCCCACCAAGGCGACGAUCUGUAGCUGGUCUGAGAGGACGACCAGCCACACUGGGACUGAGACACGGCCCAGACUCCUACGGGAGGCAGCAGUGGGGAAUUUUGGACAAUGGGCGCAAGCCUGAUCCAGCAAUGCCGCGUGCAGGAAGAAGGCCUUCGGGUUGUAAACUGCUUCUGUACGGAACGAAACGGUCUGGGUUAAUACCCUGGGCUAAUGACGGUACCGUAAGAAUAAGCACCGGCUAACUACGUGCCAGCCGCCGCAGUAAGAC